UUGAGUCCAUACGGAACAGACAAACAAGCAAAACCCAACAAUUUCAUUUCUAUAUAAUAGAUUAUCUUAUUUUAAUAGUUUAUUUACCAUACAGAGAUUGUAUUGACUUGGAAAACGGCGCUGAAGACGGAAGAUAACAUAUGUGGAUCUAGAUUUCGUGGUAUUACAAUGACCCCGACAGUGAAGAGAGGCUCAUAUUGGAAACGACAAUUUUUCUUCUUUUUUUGAAGCCUGGGAUCAUUAAAUCAAAUGUGUUUUAUUAAGCAAUACAUUUCAUGUUUUAUACACAAUCUUAUUCAAUGAAAUAAAAAGAUUUUCAUACAUGUGAAAAA
rnacentral:sRNA from 1 species